CGCAGCCGCGGUAAUUCCAGCUCCAAUAGCGUAUAUUAAAGUUGUUGCAGUUAAAAAGCUCGUAGUUGAACUUCGGGGUUUACCCAUUGGUCAGGCUUAAUUGUCUGUACUGGUGAGAUAAAUCUCUACCUUCUGAGGAACUUUCAUGUCAUUAAUUUGGUGUGAUUGGAAAUCAGGACUAUUAUUUUGAAAAAUUAGAGUGUUUAAAGCAGGCUAACGUCUGAAUACAUUGGCAUGGAAUAAUGAAAUAGGACGGACUGAUUCUAUUUCGUUGGUUUCUAGGAUCACCGUAAUGAUUAAUAGGGAUAGUUGGGGGCAUUAGUAUUCAAUUGUCAGAGGUGAAAUUCUUGGAUUUAUUGAAGACUAACUACUGCGAAAGCAUUUGCCAAGGAUGUUUUCAUUAAUCAAGAACGAAAGUUAGGGGAUCGAAGACGAUCAGAUACCGUCGUAGUCUUAACCAUAAACUAUGCCGACUAGGGAUCGGACGAAGUUAAUUUUAUAAUGACGCGUUCGGCACCUU
rnacentral:rRNA from 1 species